rnacentral:snRNA from 1 species
GUACUCGCUUCGGUAGUACAUAUACUACAACAGGAAUGACACAGAAAAGAUUAGCGUGGCCCUGCGCAAGGAUGACACACACAAUCAUGAAGCAUUCCACAGUUUU